rnacentral:SRP_RNA from 1 species
CCGUGCUAGGCGGGGCGCUAGGGGUGCCCUGCACCCGAAAUCCCCUUCAUGCGGGGCCGAACCCCCGCCCGAGGGUGGGGUGCCAUCCGGGUCGAGCACCGUGCGAUCGAUGAUGACGGACGGGUCCUGGGCGGCGAAGCGCCGUGAACCGGGUCAGGUCCGGAAGGAAGCAGCCCUAAGCGGGUCCGUCCUCGGGUGCACAGGAGCGCUCGUCCCGAGUCGAGAACACGGUAGGCGCCGGGUAGCCACCAUUCGAGGGCGGGGACGCACGG